rnacentral:rRNA from 1 species
CUCGUAGGCGGUUUGGUAAGUCGGGUGUGAAAACUCUGGGCUCAACCCAGAGAGGCCACCCGAUACUGCUAUGACUAGAGUACGGUAGGGGAGCGGGGAAUUCAUGGUGUAGCGGUGAAAUGCGCAGAUAUCAAGAGGAACACCAGCGGCGAAGGCGCCGCUCUGGGCCGUAACUGACGCUGAGGAGCGAAAGCGUGGGUAGCAAACA